rnacentral:rRNA from 1 species
AACGAACGCUGGCGGCAUGCCUAACACAUGCAAGUCGAACGAGACCUUCGGGUCUAGUGGCGCACGGGUGCGUAACGCGUGGGAACCUGCCUUUAGGUUCGGAAUAACUCAGAGAAAUUUGAGCUAAUACCGGAUGAUGUCUUCGGACCAAAGAUUUAUCGCCUUUAGAUGGGCCCGCGUUGGAUUAGCUAGUUGGUGGGGUAAAGGCCUACCAAGGCGACGAUCCAUAGCUGGUCUGAGAGGAUGAUCAGCCACACUGGGACUGAGACACGGCCCAGACCCCCUCCGGGGGCAGGCGGUGGGAAAAAUUGGCAAUUGGGCAAAAGCCUGAUCCGCAAAUGCGGGGUAGGUGUUAAGGGCUUUGGGGUUGAAAGCCUCUUUACCCGAAGAGGUAAUUAAAGGAAUGGGGAAAUUAGGCCCGGGCUAACUCGGG